UAGCAGUGGAGGGANUAUUGGUCCAAUAGCCUAACGGCUGAACCAGCAACUUGGAGGAAUGUAUAGCAAUAGCUACUUGCAUCAUUGCAAAGGUGAUGUAAGAUCGACUAUGUUGAAUAAAAAUUCUAGGUAGAAUUAUGAUAAUGACAUUGUCUGCCUAUGUGUCUUGACCAAAUUACGUGCCAGCAGUCGCGGUAAUACGUAGAAGACUUGUGUUAUUCAUGUUUAAUCGGUUUAAAGGGUACCUAGACGGUAAAUCAAGCUUUCAUAAUAAUAAAAGGACUAAUUUGCUAGAGUUACUUAUGAGGGGGUUAUAAAGUACUGGUGGUGUAGAGAUGAAAUUCUGUCAUACCUCUUUUCGAAAGAAGAAUCAUGGCACAGGUAUAGGCGAAGGCAUCCCCUUAUGUGAUAACUGACGUUGAGGGACGAAGGCUUUGUGUAGCGAACAGGAUUAGAUACCCCAAUAGUCAAGGCAGAAAAUGAUGAAUGUCAUAGAUUAGAUAUAUAAGUUUAUUCUAUAAAUGAAAGUGUAAGCAUUCCACCUCAAGAGUAAUUUGGCAACAUUGGAACUGAAAUCAUUAGACCGUUUCUGAAACCAGUAGUGAAGUAUGUUGUUUAAUUUGAUGACCCGCAAAAAACCUUACCACAAUUUGAAUAUUUAUAUUUUUUAUUGUAUUCUUGUUAAUAUUUCUUCUGGAUUUUCCGCAACAUGAAAAUUGAACAAGAAAAUUAAUAAAGAGGCAGUAAGAUAUAUUUACAACCGUUGCACGGCUGUCUUCAGUUAAUGUCGUGAGACUUUGGU
rnacentral:rRNA from 1 species